CGAGUAAACCGGGUGACCGCCCUGGAUUCAAAUUGCCAGGGAGGAAAGUCCGAGCUCCACCGAGCAGGGUGCUGGGUAACACCCAGGAGGGGAGACCCUACGGAAAGUGCCACAGAAACACACCGCCAGCGGCCCCGAUAGCAUCGGGGUGCGGGCAAGGGUGAAAUGGUGAGGCAAGAGCUCACCGGCAACUAGGAGACUAGUUGGCCGUGCAAACCCCACCCGGAGCAAGACCGAAUAAGAGGGCUCAACCGCUCCGGUGUCUCAAGGCUCUGGAGCAGGUCUAAGGUGCUCGGCCGAAGCCUUCGGGUUGGUCGCUUGACCCUGAUGGUAACAUCAGGGCUAGAUGGAUGGUCACCGCUCCGACGCAGUCGGGGCACAGAACUCGGCUUAUAGGUUUACUCGCCCG
rnacentral:RNase_P_RNA from 1 species